rnacentral:rRNA from 1 species
CGGCGGACGGGUGAGUAACGCGUGGGUAACCUGCCUCAUACAGGGGGAUAACAGUUGGAAACGGCUGCUAAUACCGCAUAAGCGCACAGUACCGCACGGUACCGUGUGAAAAACUCCGGUGGUAUGAGAUGGACCCGCGUCUGAUUAGCUAGUUGGUGGGGUAACGGCCUACCAAGGCGACGAUCAGUAGCCGACCUGAGAGGGUGACCGGCCACAUUGGGACUGAGACACGGCCCAA